rfam:Micrococcus luteus NCTC 2665, complete genome.
AAUCACGAGUCCCCGUCAUUCACGGCCCUGGCCGGCGGGACGGCAACCCUCUCACGCAGUAGUGGGGUGCUCCAGGUGAUGAUUCGGCCCCUCGGACACCCCGGCGGGCAAGUACCGCGU